AUGAACGGCGUACUUGGGAGCCUCAUUAAGGAGCAUUACCCUGGCAUGGUUACUUUGCCUGGGGAGGGCAAAGUUCCGGAGCCAGCAUGUACCUGGGACCACUACAAAGCCUAUGAGGAUCUUGGUGUAGCCAACAACAUCGAGUUUCACAACAAAGUCGAGCGGGUCUUUGCUGAACUUUGGGAUUUCUAUAGAUGCGAGGAUGGAAAGUUGGAGGAGGCACGAGCAGUUGCCAACAAACAUUGCCCGAAGCUUGUGCAUAAUCUGAUGCAUGAGGCGCGCCCUUUAGCCGUCCGCAAAUAUAUGGCAACUCAAGGCUAUAAGAGUCUUGAUAAGAAAGCCGGUAGGAGACUCCGUCUUGAGAAGGACAAGUACAUGGAG
rnacentral:rRNA from 1 species